rnacentral:rRNA from 1 species
UGACAACAGCAUACCACCUUGCAUCCCACUGCUGGCUUGCCUCUGAAGCUAAGCAGGGUUGGUCCUGGAUGGGAUACCAGAUGAUGCUGGAAGUGGUGUUGG